GAUCAGGUUUCACUUGAAACCACCUUUAGUGACAAACAGAUCUAU
rfam:Motiliproteus sp. MSK22-1 scaffold34_cov2599_read212, whole genome shotgun sequence.